GACGAACGCUGGCGGCGUGCUUAACACAUGCAAGUCGAACGGAAAGGCCCUGCUUUUGUGGGGUGCUCGAGUGGCGAACGGGUGAGUAACACGUGAGUAACCUGCCCUUGACUUUGGGAUAACUUCAGGAAACUGGGGCUAAUACCGGAUAGGAGCUCCUGCUGCAUGGUGGGGGUUGGAAAGUUUCGGCGGUUGGGGAUGGACUCGCGGCUUAUCAGCUUGUUGGUGGGGUAGUGGCUUACCACGGCUUUGACGGGUAGCCGGCCUGAGAGGGUGACCGGCCACAUUGGGAGUGAGAUGCGGCCCAGACUCCUACGGGAGGCAGCAGUGGGGAAUAUUGCACAAUGGGCGGAAGACUGAUGCAGCAACGCCGCGUGCGGGAUGACGGCCUUCGGGUUGUAACCCGCUUUCGCCUGUGACGAAGCGUGAGUGACGGUAAUGGGUAAAGAAGCACCGGCUAACUACGUG
rnacentral:rRNA from 1 species